rnacentral:rRNA from 1 species
GACGAACGCUGGCGGCGUGCUUAACACAUGCAAGUCGAACGGUGAACGAGGGAGCUUGCUCCCUCGGGAUCAGUGGCGAACGGGGGGGUAACACGUGAGCAAUCGGCCCCGAACUCGGGGAUAAGCGUGGGAAACGACGCCUAUUACGGAAUAGGACGGGGGGGGGCAUCCUCCCCGCGGGGAAAGAACUUCGGUUCGGGAUGAGCUCGCGGCCUAUCAGCUUGUUGGUGAGGUAACGGCUCACCAAGGCGACGACGGGUAGCCGGCCUGAGAGGGUGACCGGCCACACUGGGACUGAGACACGGCCCAGACUCCUACGGGAGGCAGCAGUGGGGAAUAUUGCACAAUGGGCGCAAGCCUGAUGCAGCAACGCCGCGUGAGGGACGACGGCCUUCGGGUUGUAAACCUCUUUUAGCAGGGAAGAAGCGAAAGUGACGGUACCUGCAGAAAAAGCACCGGCUAACUACGUG